GCCAUAACCUCGGCAAUAGCUCAGUGGGUAAAGCACCAGGUGAGAAGAUGGCGAUUAUUCCGAGAGCUAUUAUCCGCUCGGGUUCGAAUCCCGCUUGUGGCA
rnacentral:tRNA from 1 species